CAACGAACAAAUGUUGAAAUGCAGUAAACGAAUGAGCAAAUUCGAAUGUCGAACUAUCAUCGGACGGAUUACCAAAUUUUUUUUACUGUAACUCGCAACUGCAAUGUGCAAAUGCUCAAAUACGGAUGACGAAGAUCUAAUUUCAAAUUUACAUUGAAUAAAUAAUGCAUUCACUUGUUACGCAUCUACACAGGCAUUACAUUCCUUUACAUCUUACGCCAUUCAAAUAAUGGGGUUUAUCCAAUGUGGAUAAACCUGGUUAUUUUGUGCAGGUCAUAUUCAAAGCUCCAUUUAAAUUCUUGCUGUUUUAAUUAAUUUAAAUCGGGUUCAGUAGGUAUACUAGCUUUCACUUCCUUUAAUCUGCGCAUGUCUUCUAGAUUAUUCCUUUCCAUUUCGUAGUUUGAAAGGUGCAGACGCACAAUUAUUUUUUCAAUUGUAAUCUGUAGUAAUCCUGCGAGUUUUGGUCAGUUAAGACAGAGAUGCUUCGGGCAGCGAGGAAAACAAAAGAAAAGAGUCUGUAUUACAGGACAAAAGCAGUAAAUUUAGGCUGUUUACCGUCCUAGAAAGCGGCGAGUAGCAGCUACUGUGACUCGUGCCAACGCCGCCAUAUUGCAACCUGAUAGCUGAUGAGACUGAAAAUGCAGCUCCGGGGUGAUGCAGGGUUCGAGACCGGCAAUGUUUCAAGGUGCAGUUCUGGUGGUUAUGCAGAGUGCGACACCAUUGUUGUUACCAAAUCGGCCUAUAUAUACAGCACCGGCGGUGACGCAGACUACAAUGCAGACGGAGGCACUGGUCGUGAUUCAGCCUGUUUCGAGACUAUAGCUCUAUAUCGACUGCCUUAACGUUCGAUGAUGCGGGUACAAAUACUUACAGUUCGACAUCUCCAUUUAGACACAGUUUUCGUGAAAGUUUUACUUUGGCUGGAGUAAAUCAUAAGAUCAAUCGGUUUCCAGACAGCAUAGGAUAUGCUCAUCAGAAGAUAUGCAAGGGAAUUAGACUUCGAAAGCUAAUACCGAUAAUACCACUAUGCAGACACAUUGAAAAAGUAUAGGGAUGCACAAGAAAUACACCAGUUUUACCAUAAAGAUGGCAUUACUUAAGGCCAUGAAGAAAUGGAAAUCAAAAUAAUCAUUCUGAAAUUCUAUCACGCAUGCUUGGAUGAUCUUGAGAGGUUCUCCAUGUUUGUAUUCUUGAACGGUCGUUACAGGGACAAGUGUGAUUAGCAGUACAAACGAAAGGGUUAAGGUACAAAUGAUAAUAUGGAUAAGCAAAAACAUGACUAUCCAUCUCUGUAGUCGGAAAUUCUUGAACUUCAUCGGAAAAGCAAACAAACCCACAAUCCUCGCCGUCAUCAAUGAUUUCAACAAAAGAGAUGAACCGUGGAUAAUUCCCUGAAUACGGAAUGAGACCAGGAGAAAUCUGCAUAUUUUAUACUCGACAAAUCCAUAGUUCAUGUUGAGGAAGAUCAAUACCCCAUCUCUUAUCCCUGCAAAGAGUGCGAAGAACAUAUCCAGCGCGAUGGAGAGAACAAGAAGUUUUUGGGUGACUCCAAAAAGUUUGGAUUGUUUGAAGGCAACUACAACAAUGAUCAUCACAAUCAGUGGAAUGAUCCAAAUAUAUGGAGAUACAUAUAUUGUGAAUUGUACCAUAUAAUCCUCGUAGAAAUCCGAAAAUCUAAAAGCAUUUGAAACAACUCUUUUCGCCUCAUAUAGAUUGUCUACCAUGAGUUUUGCUCUUUGAAAAUGUUUUUCGUUCUCUUUAUCCAUUGUUGAAAUUAAUUCGAGUUGGAAUCCAAUCAAACUUAGUGUUGCUUGUUUAGGAGUACAGUACUAUUUCAGCAUCAAAUGUUUUUCUCGUUCCACUGCAAAUUCGACAUAAAAUGCACCGUAUAUGAAGAGAUCUCUAGAACAAAUAAUGGUGUAUUACGUUACCAUUCCCAAAAGGAAGUAUGGGGAACACUGGCCACGACAGAUAAUCAAGGCAAGUGGCUGUGUUGUGCCAAAAGUAAUGACGUGAAUUGGAUUAUAUUUUAUUCAACUCGAAAACAAAACUGUUCGAAAUGUCACCCAAUCAAGGCGCUUAAGCUUAAGUUCUGCUUUGUUUCACAUGUAUUUCCAAAUUUUGACAUUAAAUGAAUUCACCGUUGCUGAAAUGUCACCAACU